GCCCUGAUAGUGUAGCUGGCCUAAUCUUCCAAAGAUCACAAAGGGGAGGCCAAUCAUGCGACCCUGUCGAGGUCGCGACCCGGGUUCGAAUCCCGGUCAGGGCG
rnacentral:tRNA from 1 species